UACGAAGGGGGCUAGCGUUGCUCGGAAUCACUGGGCGUAAAGGGUGCGUAGGCGGGUCUUUUAAGUCAGGGGUGAAAUCCUGGAGCUCAACUCCAGAACUGCCUUUGAUACUGAGGAUCUUGAGUUCGGGAGAGGUGAGUGGAACUGCGAGCGUAGAGGUGAAAUUCGUAGAUAUUCGCAAGAACACCAGUGGCGAAGGCGGCUCACUGGCCCGAUACUGACGCUGAGGCACGAAAGCGUGGGGAGCAAACAGG
rnacentral:rRNA from 1 species